rnacentral:tRNA from 2 species
GCCGGAGUGGUGGAACUGGUAGACGCGCUGGACUCAAAAUCCAGUAGGAGCAAUCCUGUGCGAGUUCGAUUCUCGCCUCCGGCA